AAAGUGCCGCCUAGUUUUAAGCCC
rnacentral:miRNA from 1 species